rnacentral:ncRNA from 1 species
CUCCACGGGGUUAGCGAUGACCCGCCGGGCGCCAUCUGGUCGCCAUAGCCCGGCGGUGAGCAGAGGCGAAACCGGACCCGUCUCG